rnacentral:SRP_RNA from 1 species
GCCGAGCUCAGUUGCGAGAGCUUGUAAUCCGAAUGGGGGCAUUAAGAUGAUGUGCACGCUGUUGUAGUGUUGCGGGCCUGGUCUGGGUGUGCUACUGCUGGCCUGCCCGUUCCAAGUUGUGUAGUGGGCCGCUUGGGGCCUAUGCGAAAGCUGGGCCUCACGGUCCAUAAUGUGGGAGGCACAGCGUGAGGCUGGCUUCACAGAGCAGCGACAACUGCCCGCUUCCAACGGUGGAAGGAUAACAGGCCGCUGCACUCCUUGGCCGCUUGGGCCUCGCAGCCUACUCUAGUGGACCAUCACUUUU